rnacentral:misc_RNA from 1 species
GAUGAAGAACGUAGCGAAAUGCGAUAACUAAUGUGAAUUGCAGAAUUCCGUGAAUCAUCGAGUCUUUGAACGCACAUUGCGCCCCCUGGUAUUCCGGGGGGCAUGCCUGUCCGAGCGUCAUUGCUGCCCAUCAAGCACGGCUUGUGUGUUGGGUCCUCGUCCCCUCCGGGGGACGUGCCCGAAAGGCAGCGGCGGCACCGCGUCCGGUCCUCGAGCGUAUGGGGCUUUGUCACCCGCUCUGCAGGCCCGGCCGGCGCUGGCCGACGCGAAAGCAACCAUUUUUUCUCCAGGUUGACCUCGGAUCAGGUAGGGAUACCCGCUGAACUUAAGCAUAUCAAUAAGCGGAGGA